AUUGAACGCUGGCGGCAGGCCUAACACAUGCAAGUCGAGCGGAUGAAGGGAGCUUGCUCCUGGAUUCAGCGGCGGACGGGUGAGUAAUGCCUAGGAAUAUGCCUGGUAGUGGGGGCUAACGUCCGGAAACGGGCGCUAAUACCGCAUACGUCCUGAGGGCGAACGUGGGGGAUCUUCGGACCUCACGCUCUCAGAUGAGCCAAGGUCGGAUUAGCUAGUUGGUGGGGUAAAGGCCUACCAAGGCGACGAUCCGUAGCUGGUCUGAGAGGAUGAUCAGUCACACUGGAACUGAGACACGGUCCAGGCUCCUACGGGAGGCAGCAGUGGGGAAUAUUGGACAAUGGGCGAAAGCCUGAUCCAGCCAUGCCGCGUGUGUGAAGAAGGUCUUCGGAUUGUAAAGCACUUUAAGUUGGGAGGAAGGGCAGUAAGUUAAUACCUUGCUGUUUUGACGUUACCAACAGAAUAAGCACCGGCUAACUUCGUG
rnacentral:rRNA from 1 species